rnacentral:tRNA from 1 species
CGGGGCGUGGCGCAGUUUGGCUAGCGCGCAGCACUGGGGGUGCUGAGGUCGCAGGUUCAAGUCCUGUCGCCCCGA